rnacentral:misc_RNA from 1 species
GAACUGCGAUACGUAAUGCGAAUUGCAGGAUUCAGUGAGUCAUCGAAAUUUUGAACGCAUAUUGCACUUCCGGGUUAGCCCUGGGAGUAUGCCUGUAUCAGUGUCCGUACAUCAAACUUGGUUUUCUUCUUUCCGUGUAGUCGGUGGAGGAUAUGCCAGAUGUGAAGUGUCUUGCGGCUGGUUUUUUGAUCGGCUGUGAGUCCUUUGAAAUGUACAGAACUGUACUUCUCUUUGCUCGAAAAGCGUGGCGUUGCUGGUUGUGGAGGCUGUG